UACAGAGGUGGCAAGCGUUGUUCGGAAUUACUGGGCGUAAAGGGCGCGUAGGCGGCCCACUAAGUCAGACGUGAAAUCCCCCGGCUUAACCUGGGAACUGCGUCUGAUACUGGAGGGCUUGAGUAUGGGAGAGGGAUGUAGAAUUCCAGGUGUAGCGGUGAAAUGCGCAGAUAUCGGGAAGAACACCCGUGGCGAAGGCGGCUCUCUGGGACGGUACUGACGCUGAGACGCGAAAGCGUGGGGAGCGAACAGG
rnacentral:rRNA from 1 species